UUCGCAAUGCCCGAAAGGGUGAACGAGCGACGCCGCGUGCAGGAUGAAGGCCUUCGAGUCGUAAACCGCUUUUCUUAGGGAAGAAUGUAAUGACGGUACCUAAGGAAUAAGAGGCUACUAACUCUGUGCCAGCAGUAGCGGUAAUACAGAGGCCUCAAGCGUUAUCCGGAUUUACUGGGCAUAAAGAGCACGUAGGCGGUUGGGCAAGUCCAUUGUGAAGUCCCCACGGCUCAACCGGGGAACUGCAGUGGAUACUACUCGACUUGAGUGCAGGAGGGGAGAGUGGAAUUCCAGGUGGAGCGGUGAAAUGCGUAGAUAUCUGGAGGAACGCCGGUGGCGAAAGCGACUCUCUGGCCUGUUACUGACGCUGAGGCGCGAAAGCUAGGGGAGCAAACGGGAUUAGAUACCCCGGUAGUCCUAGCCCUAAACGAUGGGCACUAAGUAGAGGGGUUUU
rnacentral:rRNA from 1 species